UGGCUCAGUUGGUAGAGCAUGGUGUUUGCAACGCCAGGGUUGUGGGUUCAAUUUCCAC
rnacentral:tRNA from 1 species